rnacentral:rRNA from 1 species
UACGUAGGGUGCAAGCGUUAAUCGGAAUUACUGGGCGUAAAGCGUGCGCAGGCGGUUAUGCAAGACAGAUGUGAAAUCCCCGGGCUUAACCUGGGAACCGCAUUUGUGACUGCAUAGCUGGAGUACGGCAGAGGGGAUGGAAUUCCGCGUGUAGCAGUGAAAUGCGUAGAUAUGCGGAGGAACACCGAUGGCGAAGGCAGUCCCCUGGGCCUGUACUGACGCUCAUGCACGAAA